GCUGGCGGCAGGCCUAACACAUGCAAGUCGAGCGCGAAAACACUUCGGUGUGAGUAGAGCGGCGGACGGGUGAGUAAUGCUUGGGAAUCUGCCCAGUAGUGGGGGAUAACGUGUGGAAACGCACGCUAAUACCGCAUACGUCCUACGGGAGAAAGCAGGGGAUCUUCGGACCUUGCGCUAUUGGAUGAGCCCAAGUCGGAUUAGCUAGUUGGUGGGGUAAUGGCCUACCAAGGCGACGAUCCGUAGCUGGUCUGAGAGGAUGAUCAGCCACACUGGGACUGAGACACGGCCCAGACUCCUACGGGAGGCAGCAGUGGGGAAUAUUGCACAAUGGGCGAAAGCCUGAUGCAGCCAUGCCGCGUGUGUGAAGAAGGCUCUAGGGUUGUAAAGCACUUUCAGUAGGGAGGAAAAGCUUGAGGUUAAUAACCUUGAGCCCUGACGUUACCUACAGAAGAAGCACCGGCAAACUCCGUGCCAGCAGCCGCGGUAAUACGGAGGGUGCGAGCGUUAAUCGGAAUUACUGGGCGUAAAGCGCGCGUAGGUGGUUUGAUAAGCUAGCUGUGAAAGCCCCGGGCUCAACCUGGGAACUGCAGUUAGAACUGUCUGACUAGAGUACAGUAGAGGGUGGCGGAAUUUCCUGUGUAGCGGUGAAAUGCGUAGAUAUAGGAAGGAACAUCAGUGGCGAAGGCGGCCACCUGGACUGAU
rnacentral:rRNA from 1 species